ensembl:snoRNA SNORD102 small nucleolar RNA, C/D box 102
AGCUUAAUGAUGAUUGUCUUUGUGAUUGAUUGAAGCAAUGUGAAAAACACAUUUCACCGGCUCUGAAAGCU